AUUGAACGCUGGCGGCAUGCCUUACACAUGCAAGUCGAACGGUAACAGGUUAAGCUGACGAGUGGCGAGCGGGUGAGUAAUGUAUCGGAACGUGCCCAGUCGUGGGGGAUAACUGCUCGAAAGAGCAGCUAAUACCGCAUACGACCUGAGGGUGAAAGCGGGGGAUCGCAAGACCUCGCGCGAUUGGAGCGGCCGAUAUCAGAUUAGGUAGUUGGUGAGGUAAAGGCUCACCAAGCCGACGAUCUGUAGCUGGUCUGAGAGGACGACCAGCCACACUGGGACUGAGACACGGCCCAGACUCCUACGGGAGGCAGCAGUGGGGAAUUUUGGACAAUGGGCGCAAGCCUGAUCCAGCCAUGCCGCGUGCGGGAAGAAGGCCUUCGGGUUGUAAACCGCUUUUGUCAGGGAAGAAAAGGUUCUGGCUAAUACCUGGGACUCAUGACGGUACCUGAAGAAUAAGCACCGGCUAACUACGUG
rnacentral:rRNA from 1 species